rnacentral:rRNA from 1 species
CCUACGGGUGGCAGCAGUGAGGAAUAUUGGUCAAUGGGCGGGAGCCUGAACCAGCCAAGUCGCGUGAGGGAAGACGGUCCUAUGGAUUGUAACCCUCUUUAGGCGGGGAGCAAGGCCGUGCACGUGUGCCCGGAGGGAGAGUACCAGCAGAAUAAGCAUCGGCUAACUCCGUGCCAGCAGCCGCGGUAAUACGGAGGAUGCGAGCGUUAUCCGGAUUUAGUGGGUUUAAAGGGUGCGUAGGCGGAUUUUUAAGUCAGCGGUAAAAUGACCCGGCUCAACCCGGGCCGGCCGUUGAAACUGGGGAUCUUGAGUGGGCGAGAAGUAUGGGGAAUGCGAGGUGUAGCGGUGAAAUGCAUAGAUAUCACGCAGAACUCCGAUGGCGAAGGCAGCAUACUGGCGCCCGACUGACGCUGAGGCACGAAAGCGUGGGGAUCGAACAGGAUUAGAUACCCUGGUAGUC